GAUGAACGCUGGCGGCGUGCUUAACACAUGCAAGUCGAACGGGAAUUAUUUUAUUGAAACUUCGGUCGAUUUAAUUUAAUUCUAGUGGCGGACGGGUGAGUAACGCGUGGGUAACCGGCCUUAUACAGGGGGAUAACAGUCAGAAAUGGCUGCUAAUACCGCAUAAGCGCACAGAGCUGCAUGGCUCAGUGUGAAAAACUCCGGUGGUCUAAGAUGGACCCGCGGUGUAUUAGCUGGUUUGUGGGGUAACGGCCCACCAAGGCGACGAUCCAUAGCCGGCCUGGGAGGGUGAACGGGCACAUGGGGACUGAGACACGGCCCAGAAUCCUACGGGAGGCAGCAGUGGGGAAUAUAGCACAAUCGGGGAAACCCUGAUGCAGCGACGCGGAGUGAAGGAAGAAGUAGCUCGGUAUGUAAACUUCUAUAAGCAGGGAAGAUAGUGACGGUACCUGACUAAGAAGCCCCGGCUAACUACGUG
rnacentral:rRNA from 1 species